UACGUAGGAGGCGAGCGUUGUCCGGAUUUACUGGGCGUAAAGGGCUCGUAGGCGGCCAACUAAGUCGGACGUGAAAUCCCCAGGCUCAACCUGGGAACUGCGUCCGAUACUGGAUGGCUUGAAUCCGGGAGAGGGAUGCAGAAUUCCAGGUGUAGCGGUGAAAUGCGUAGAUAUCUGGAGGAAUACCGGUGGCGAAGGCGGCAUCCUGGACCGGCAUUGACGCUGAGGAGCGAAAGCCAGGGGAGCAAACGGG
rnacentral:rRNA from 1 species